GAUGAACGAUGGCGGCGUGCUUAAGAAAUGCAAGUCGAACGGUGAACACGGAGCUUGCUCUGUGGGAUCAGUGGCGAACGGGUGAGUAACACGUGAGCAACCUGCGCCUGACUCUGGGAUAAGCGCUGGAAACGGCGUCUAAUACUGGAUACGAGUAGCGGCCGCAUGGUCAGUUACUGGAAAGAUUCUUUGGUUGGGGAUGGGCUCGCGGCCUAUCAGCUUGUUGGUGAGGUAAUGGCUCACCAAGGCGUCGACGUGUAGCCGGCCUGAGAGGGUGACCGGCCACACUGGGACUGAGACACGGCCCAGACUCCUACGGGAGGCAGCAGUGGGGAAUAUUGCACAAUGGGCGAAAGCCUGAUGCAGCAACGCCGCGUGAGGGAUGACGGCCUUCGGGUUGUAGACCUCUUUUAGCAGGGAAGAAGCGUAAGUGACGGUACCUGCAGAAAAAGCGCCGGCUAACUACGUGCCAGCCGCCGCCGUAA
rnacentral:rRNA from 1 species